rnacentral:rRNA from 1 species
UGCGACGUCACACUGCCGAGAAAAGCUUCUAGCCAGAGACGGUGCACCCGUACCGCAAACCGACACAGGUAGUCGAGGAGAGUAUCCUCAGGUGAGCGAGAGAACUCUCGUUAAGGAACUCGGCAAAAUGGCCCCGUAACUUCGGGAGAAGGGGCGCUGGUCGCAAGAUCAGCCGCAGUGAAAAGGCCCAAGCAACUGUUUAUCAAAAACACAGGCAUCUGCAAAAUCGUAAGAUGAAGUAUAGGUGCUGACACCUGCCCGGUGCUGGAAGGUUAAGAGGAGAGCUUAGCGCAAGCGAAGGUUUGAAUUGAAGCCCCAGUAAACGGCGGCCGUAACUAUAACGGUCCUAAGGUAGCGAAAUUCCUUGUCGGGUAAGUUCCGACCUGCACGAAAGGUGUAA